rnacentral:rRNA from 1 species
CAAAAACAUCGCCUCUUGAAGUAACAAUAUAAGAGGUCCUGCCUGCCCAGUGACUGUUUGUUCAACGGCCGCGGUACUUUGACCGUGCGAAGGUAGCGCAAUCACUUGUCUUUUAAAUGAAGACCUGUAUGAAUGGCUAAACGAGGGCUUAACUGUCUCCUUUUUCCAGUCAAUGAAAUUGAUCUUCCCGUGCAGAAGCGGGAAUAACAACAUAAGACGAGAAGACCCUGUGGAGCUUUAGACACUAAAUCAGCCAUUGUCCAUAACCCCUAUUAAGGGGCUGAACGAUAGAAUGAGACCUGAUCUGAUGUCUUCGGUUGGGGCGACCUCGGGGAAAGGAAGAACCCCCGCGCGGAACAGGAGUACUACUCCCAAAACUGAGAGCCACCACUCAAGGUACCAGAAAUUUUGACCAACAAUAUGAUCCAGCUUAACGCCGAUCAACGGACUAAGUUACCCCAGGGAUAACAGCGCAAUCCUCUUCGAGAGCCCAUAUCGACAAGAGGGUUUACGACCUCGAUGUUGGAUCAGGACAUCCUAAUGGUGCAGCCGCUAUUAAGGGUUCGUUUGUUCAACGAUUAAAGUCCUACGUGAUCUGA